UUCUGUAGGCUGUUAUUUAAGUCAGAGGUCAAAUCCCUCGGCCCAACCGAGGAAACGCUUCUGAUACUAAUUGACUAGAGGAAUUUAGGGGGUAGCGGAACGUAUGGUGUAGCAGUAAAAUGCGUUGAUAUCAUACGGAACACCGAGGGGAAGCCAGCUACCUGGGAAUUUCCUGACGCUGAGAGACGAAAGCGUGGGGAGCGAAAC
rnacentral:rRNA from 1 species